rnacentral:rRNA from 1 species
ACGCGUGGGUAACCUGCCUUGUACUGGGGGAGUAGCAGCUGGAAACGGCUGGUAAUACCGCAUAAGCGCACAAUGUUGCAUGACAUGGUGUGAAAAACUCCGGUGGUAUAAGAUGGACCCGCGUCUGAUUAGCUAGUUGGUGAGAUAACAGCCCACCAAGGCGACGAUCAGUAGCCGACCUGAGAGGGUGACCGGCCACAUUGGGACUGAGACACGGCCCAGACUCCUACGGGAGGCAGCAUG